rnacentral:misc_RNA from 1 species
UCAUUUAGAGGAAGGAGAAGUCGUAACAAGGUUUCCGUAGGUGAACCUGCGGAAGGAUCAUUGUCGAAACCUGCCCCGACAGGACCACCCGUGAAUCAUCGAUGCAAAAUCGUUCGAGGAGGAGCGUCGUGCGAACGACGAUCCCCCCUCCAGUCGUGCCGCGAGCCCUGCCCGGAUCGUCGGCGCGGACCCGGUCCGCGCCGCGACGCCCCGCCGUCCUCGCGGUCUCGAAUUAACAACGUAUCCCCGGCGCGAUCAGCGUCAAGGAAAUUUCACAGGACGCGCGUCUCCGUGGCCCGCCCGAUGUUGCGGUGCGUCCACGGACGGCGUCGCGAUCAUGAUAUUUGAACGACUCUCGGCAACGGAUAUCUCGGCUCUCGCAUCGAUGAAGAACGUAGCGAAAUGCGAUACUUGGUGUGAAUUGCAGAAUCCCGUGAACCAUCGAGUUUUUGAACGCAAGUUGCGCCCUAGGCCGUUAGGUCGAGGGCACGUCUGCCUGGGCGUCAAGCAUCGCGUCACCCCGACUCCGUCGUCUCACCGCGAGAUCCCCCGGAGCCGCGUGGGUGGAGAUUGGCCCCCCGUGCCUCGCGCGCGGUCGGCCCAAAAACGAGCCCUCGACGGCCGGUGUCACGAUCAGUGGUGGUUGACGUGCCUCUUUUCGAAGAUGGAUGUCGUGCCCGCCGCGUCGUCGAACGGGCCAUCCGGACCUUGUUGGUGCUCACGGAGCACUCGUCCUGCGACCCCAGGUCAGGCGGGGCCACCCGCUGAGUUUAAGCAUAUC